AGCAGUGUAGCUCAGUGGUAGAGCACUUGCCUAGUAUGCAUGAGGCACUGGGUUCAAUCCCCCGUACUGCUA